rnacentral:rRNA from 1 species
CAAUAGCGUAUAUUAAAGUUGUUGCAGUUAAAAAGCUCGUAGUUGGAUUUCUGGUGGGAGCGAUCGGUCUGGCGCUUAGCGCAAGUACUUGCAUCGUCUCCGGCCAUCCUUGGGGAGAGUCUGUCUGGCAUUAGGUUGUCGGGCAGAGGAUCCUCAUCGUUUACUGUGAAAAAAUUAGAGUGUUCAAAGCAGGCUUAUGCCGUUGAAUAUAUUAGCAUGGAAUAACAAGAUAGGACUUUGGUACUAUUUUGUUGGUUUGCGCACCAAAGUAAUGAUUAAUAGGGACAGUUGGGGGUAUUCGUAUUCCGUUGUCAGAGGUGAAAUUCUUGGAUUUACGGAAGACGAACUACUGCGAAAGCAUUUACCAAGGAUGUUUUCAUUA